AGUGAACGCUGGCGGUAGGCCUAACACAUGCCAGUCGAACGGCAGCACAGUAAGAGCUUGCUCUUACGGGUGGCGAGUGGCGGACGGGUGAGGAAUACAUCGGAAUCUACUUUUUCGUGGGGGAUAACGUAGGGAAACCUACGCUAAUACCGCAUACGACCUACGGGUGAAAGCAGGGGAUCUUCGGACCUUGCGCGAUUGAAUGAGCCGAUGUCGGAUUAGCUAGUUGGCGGGGUAAAGGCCCACCAAGGCGACGAUCCGUAGCUGGUCUGAGAGGAUGAUCAGCCACACUGGAACUGAGACACGGUCCAGACUCCUACGGGAGGCAGCAGUGGGGAAUAUUGGACAAUGGGCGCAAGCCUGAUCCAGCCAUACCGCGUGGGUGAAGAAGGCCUUCGGGUUGUAAAGCCCUUUUGUUGGGAAAGAAAAGCAGCAGGUUAAUACCCCGCUGUUCUGACGGUACCCAAAGAAUAAGCACCGGCUAACUUCGUG
rnacentral:rRNA from 1 species